GGUGACGAGCGGCGGACGGGUGAGUAAUGUCUGGGAAACUGCCUGAUGGAGGGGGAUAACUACUGGAAACGGUAGCUAAUACCGCAUAACGUCGCAAGACCAAAGUGGGGGACCUUCGGGCCUCAUGCCAUCAGAUGUGCCCAGAUGGGAUUAGCUAGUAGGUGGGGUAAUGGCUCACCUAGGCGACGAUCCCUAGCUGGUCUGAGAGGAUGACCAGCCACACUGGAACUGAGACACGGUCCAGACUCCUACGGGAGGCAGCAGUGGGGAAUAUUGCACAAUGGGCGCGAGCCUGAUGCAGCCAUGCCGCGUGUGUGAAGAAGGCCUUCGGGUUGUAAAGCACUUUCAGCGGGGAGGAAGGCGUUAAGGUUAAUAACCUUGGCGAUUGACGUUACCCGCAGAAGAAGCACCGGCUAACUCCGUGCCAGCAGCCGCGGUAAUACGGAGGGUGCAAGCGUUAAUCGGAAUUACUGGGCGUAAAGCGCACGCAGGCGGUCUGUCAAGUCGGAUGUGAAAUCCCCGGGCUCAACCUGGGAACUGCAUUCGAAACUGGCAGGCUAGAGUCUUGUAGAGGGGGGUAGAAUUCCAGGUGUAGCGGUGAAAUGCGUAGAGAUCUGGAGGAAUACCGGUGGCGAAGGCGGCCCCCUGGACAAAGACUGACGCUCAGGUGCGAAAGCGUGGGGAGCAAACAGGAUUAGAU
rnacentral:rRNA from 1 species